UUGUGAUGUAAUAAAGGAUAGUUUUGG
rnacentral:piRNA from 1 species